rnacentral:rRNA from 1 species
AUUGAACGCUGGCGGAAUGCUUUACACAUGCAAGUCGAACGGCAGCACGGACUUCGGUCUGGUGGCGAGUGGCGAACGGGUGAGUAAUGUAUCGGAACGUGCCCAGUCGUGGGGGAUAACGUAGUGAAAAUUACGCUAAUACCGCAUACGAUCUAUGGAUGAAAGCGGGGGAUCGCAAGACCUCGCGCGAUUGGAGCGGCCGAUAUCAGAGUAGGUAGUUGGUGGGGUAAAGGCCCACCAAGCCAACGAUCUGUAGCUGGUCUGAGAGGACGACCAGCCACACUGGAACUGAUACAAUGUCCAGACUGCUACGGGAGGCAGCAGUGGAGAAUUUUGUACAAUGGGCCAAAGCCUGAUCCAUCCAUUCCGCGUGCAGGAUGAAGGCCCUCGGGUUGUAAACUGCUUUUGUACAGAACGAAAAGGUUUCUACUAAUACUAGGAGCUCAUGACGGUACUGUAAGAAUAAGCACCGGCUAACUACGUGCCAGCCGCCGCAGUAA